CGAUGGUCGCGGAGGGGGGAGAUGCUCCUGUGCUGACCGACCGCUGCUGAAGGCAACUCCGAUCGUCUCUCUCCGCCCUCGGGAUGUUGGCCACUCCGCUCUGAUCUGAUCUGCACAGUUCCCUGACCAUAAGACGGAGUGGAACUAGAGUGUGGACAAAGACAACCCUGCUAAUCCUGGGUGGUAAUACAGAGGACUUUCAUGCCAACUUCAGAU